rnacentral:rRNA from 1 species
UCGGGAAUUUUGGGCAAUGGGGGAAACCCUGACCCAGCAACGCCGCGUGAAGGAUGAAGUAUUUCGGUAUGUAAACUUCGAAAGAAUAGGAAGAAUAAAUGACGGUACUAUUUAUAAGGUCCGGCUAACUACGUGCCAGCAGCCGCGGUAAUACGUAGGGACCAAGCGUUGUUCGGAUUUACUGGGCGUAAAGGGCGCGUAUGCGGCAAUUCAAGUCAUCUGUGAAAUCUCCGGGCUUAACUCGGAACGGUCAGAUGAUACUGCUUUGCUAGAGUGCAGAAGGGGCAAUCGGAAUUCUUGGUGUAGCGGUGAAAUGCGUAGAUAUCAAGAGGAACACCUGAGGUGAAGACGGGUUGCUGGGCUGACACUGACGCUGAGGCGCGAAA